GGGUUUAGGCAUGGGAGCUCACAGUGGAGUGCGGUCCUGGAUGAGUGGAUCUGAGUGGAUUCAAAUAAAGAGCGAGCGCGUGAACGGGGCGAGUGACGCGGUUUUCAUGCGAUUUGAAUGCCGACGCGACACGAGCGAUGGCGAGCGACGUAAACACGAGAAUUGGGUGCUUGCACGUCUGAGAUGCAAAACAAAACAGAGCCAAAGAGAAUUUUAAUAGAAAUAGGAGUCCGUGGAGAAUUAGGAAGUCAGACAUAAUCCCACGCCGUGAA
rnacentral:lncRNA from 1 species